rnacentral:rRNA from 1 species
GACGAACGCUGGCGGCGUGCCUAAUACAUGCAAGUAGAACGCUGAAGGAGGAGCUUGCUUCUCUGGAUGAGUUGCGAACGGGUGAGUAACGCGUAGGUAACCUGCCUGGUAGCGGGGGAUAACUAUUGGAAACGAUAGCUAAUACCGCAUAAUAGUAGAUGUUGCAUGACAUUUGCUUAAAAGGUGCAAUUGCAUCACUACCAGAUGGACCUGCGUUGUAUUAGCUAGUUGGUGGGGUAACGGCUCACCAAGGCGACGAUACAUAGCCGACCUGAGAGGGUGAUCGGCCACACUGGGACUGAGACACGGCCCAGACUCCUACGGGAGGCAGCAGUAGGGAAUCUUCGGCAAUGGACGGAAGUCUGACCGAGCAACGCCGCGUGAGUGAAGAAGGUUUUCGGAUCGUAAAGCUCUGUUGUAAGAGAAGAACGAGUGUGAGAGUGGAAAGUUCACACCGUGACGGUAUCUUACCAGAAAGGGACGGCUAACUACGUG